rnacentral:rRNA from 1 species
UGGGGGAAUAUUGCACAAUGGGCGAAAGCCUGAUGCAGCGACGCCGCGUGAGGGAUGACGGCCUUCGGGUUGUAAACCUCUUUCAGCAGGGAAGAAGCGAAAGUGACGGUACCUGCAGAAGAAGCGCCGGCUAACUACGUGCCAGCAGCCGCGGUAAUACGUAGGGCGCAAGCGUUGUCCGGAAUUAUUGGGCGUAAAGAGCUCGUAGGCGGUUAGUCGCGUCUGCUGUGAAAACUCGAGGCUCAACCUCGGGCUUGCAGUGGGUACGGGCUGACUAGAGUGCGGUAGGGGGUGACUGGAAUUCCUGGUGUAGCGGUGGAAUGCGCAGAUAUCAGGAGGAACACCGAUGGCGAAGGCAGGUCACUGGGCCGCAACUGACGCUGAGGAGCGAAAGCAUGGGGAGCGAACAGGAUUAGAUAGCCCUGGUAGUCCAUGCCGUAAACGUUGGGCACUAGGUGUGGGGUCCAUUCCACGGAUUCCGUGCCGCAGCAAAGCGCAUUAAGUGCCCCGCCUGGGGAGUACGGCCGCAAGGCUAAACUCAAAUGAAUUGCACGGGGGUCAUAGCUGUUUCCGU